GGAAAAUCUCCCCUGCGUGUUCUUCACACCUCGGCUCAGGCAAACUCGAUGAGUUUUCGCAAAGUAGGUUCCCGCGUUACAACGCUAUCCCGGGAUAGGAGGUGUGCGAUUUUCGAAUCUUUGAUCGUCGAGCAGUUGGAUAGAAAAAUUCGAGCACUAUGAGUUCGUAACAAGAACCGAUGAUAUGAGUCCUGAAGAAACACCAGUAGCUGAUAUGCCUUAGACGGAGAUUUUAGUUCAAUUUCUGGAAGCCAUUUGAAUGAACCUUUGAAAUGCCUUUUAUGUGUUGAAGAACCGUGAUUGCAGUAAAAGAAGACGACUACGAAAAGAAUGACUAAUGGAAGUCAGAAGGCCUUCCAGCAGCCGAGCGGUAAAGUCCCUGAACACUUGUAGUUCGUUCCGAUUUUAAGACGAGCCAGUUUCCUUUAGAAAGUCCUCCAUGAAGGCAUCCACCCCUCCAUGUAGUGCCUUAGGGAAAACACGUAAAUAAUUUUACAUAUAUUUCCAAUAUAUAAUCAUAUAAAUUAUAUCAAUAUAUGUGUGUGCAUCCAUAUAUAUAUAUAUAUGUUUGAGUGUGUGAUAUAUAUAUAUAUUUCUCCUUUUGGUUCAUUUUUCAGGAUGUCAGAUAUCUA